rnacentral:lncRNA from 1 species
UUUCCUUUUCGCGCUUGAGAUGUGGUCUGGUGGGAUAUCGGGUACUCGUCCGAAGGUCGUUUAAAUAUUAGUUAUAUAUCAUGUGUACAUAUAUAGUCAUAAAAGGUCCUUCCAGUUCAUCCCAUGCCCUUGGNGGGUAGCAAGGGUAUACAUCCAUUUCCAUACGUACUAGUUAGAUUACUAGUAAACUACCAUAUGGGUAGUUUAGGAAGAUAUUAGAACUAUUACUAGAACGCGAUAUCAUAAUAUGAGUCAGUUCAUUCAUGAGUCAAUACUUACUACUAGAAGAACGUAUACAACUAUACUAGAGAAGAACAUAUACAACUAUACUAGAGAAGAACAUACACAACUAUACUAGAAAGAGAACAUAUACAACGAUACCAGAACGAUUACAUUACUAUACUUGCUAGAUAAAGAGAGAACACACAUUUCAGCUAGCACACGUAGAACAUUACAGUACACUACUAUACUAUUACAUGAUCACACUUACAUAAGUACAAUUACAAGAUCACGCUUACAUGAGUACGCUUACAUAUACAUAGAACAUACGUCACUAGGUGCUAUAGCAUGGAACCAGUUCAGGAUCUAACUAUACCGAUGAAUCACAACGCAAUUGUAAUUUUUAUAUCGAGUAUACAUGAUAAUAGUAAUGUGGAUGCUCAUCGCUUGCAUACAUGCAUGGGUCGUGAGUAGGUCCCAAAAUCCCUUUGAUAGGGGAGCGUAUAGUCUGGGAUCUAGACAUCACAUUAUACCUUAUACCUCAAACAAGGCAGUUAAGUACCGAUGUAGUUAUUUAUUUCAAAUACUACAGUACUUAGAAGAAUUACCCAAGACUUAAGGUAAUUAGUAAGGUUGUAGUUCGACAGUACACCAUAGUACUAUUUCAUUUUCCCAUUACAUUCACUUCGUGAACAUUCACACGACGCACGGAGAUGUAGAAACUAUCUUUUUGGUUAAUGAUAGUCAGACUUGGGAAAAUACACACUCUUACAAGAGACACACACAGACACUGGAUGCCUUGGUAGAAGGCUACAUAUAGAUCAGUUAAGUCUUGGUAGAAGACUCCCUGUUAUAAUAGUAGGAAACAUAGGGAUUUCUAGAGUUUUUUUCAAACGUUUACAGUUGUUUUACAAACAUUUUCAAUACUUACAGUUCAUAUACAAAUUCUUACAUACAAAUACUUACAUACAAAUUAAGACACUAAAAUACUUAUGAUCUCACCAGCUUCAAAGCUGAUACUCGCUUUCAAAAUUACUUGUAUCCUCAGGUCAUCAUAGACAGGUACCGAUGCAAGGAUUAGGGAAGAUGGAGCUCGUUGAAGACUCAUCUUUCAUUUUGAUUUAUGCUUUAGUGUUUAUCAAAAUUUGACAGAACACACUUGUAUAAUAAUUCUAUUAUUAAUGCAAUGGAUGAUGUUGUUGCUUGUUUACUACUUUACAUUGUUGUGAUACUGUACAUGACGUCCUCCGCCCCAGAACGUUUCCGCCGUUCUUGGUUUUGGGGUGUGAUAGAUUGGUAUCAGAGCAUUGUUUAUAGUGAAUUAAGUAUAUCAACCCAUAAAAGAUAUACUAACUAUAAAUACAUAAGGGAUUAAAAAUACUCUGACCAAGAGUUUAUACUUUAAAUAAUAAAAUAUUUAAUAAAGUAUACGGGCCUGCAUUCAUACUAAAAUCAGUGUCACUAGGACAGUACAAAAGAAUUAUGAUUGUUGGGAAACGCAAGUGGGCUUAGAGACAUAUGGUGAAAACUGGGAAGAUAUAGCAUGAUCACCUAUAUUAUCUGAGGGUUGACUAGCAUGUGCCUAAGUUUAAUUGUGUGGUUGCAACAAUGCUAAAAUCUUACCAACCCUACCACAAUGAGAACAAUAGAACAUAACAUUAAAUUUAAAAUACUAUAGGAGUAUUUGGUGUUACUAUAAGUACGUCAUACUUGAGAACUAAAACGGGAUCUUCAUUACUAAGUUGAUAGUUGCUAAGUGGAUACACUAAGGAUAUAUGUAAUUAGGAUGUUAUAGACUUAGAAUCUGUGAAAAUUUUACUUUACCCCUAUUCUGUGUGAAUUUGGAGUUAAGGUCACUUAUUCGAAGGCCUAUCCUGUUUCGAUUACAUAUAACUGGUAUGCACUUCACAAAUAGCGAUGUAACUAAUGAAGAUUUUCUAAAUAAUUAUCUAGAUAGUUCGUCUAAUAAUUAUUUUCUUACCCCAAUUCUCGCAUAGAUAACAUGGCUGGACUCCAUCCCCACGGCAACCAGUACCUUCCGAAUGAGGUCAUUGCUGGAUGGUUUGGAGAAGAACCAGAGAAUGAUCAUCUGAUCCCUUUGAAUGAUCACCAUGAUGAAAACCCUUCGGACGGUGCAAAUUCUGAACCAGAGGUUGAGAACCUACCCCAAAUAGCUCCCUUUCUAAUUCCUAACCCUCGUCCAGCUUUUUCAUGGCCCGAUGCCUGAGUGGGUGGAAUGCUUGGAAACAUGGAGCCAAGGACAAGAUCAGCCCAUGCCAUUUAAUGGCGACCGAAGCUUUUACGACCUGAGCAAUGGGGGCUCAGCAGACAGAGUCGUGCCAAUCUUGGUCCGUAGAGUGGCCCGAAAUGAGAUUCAAGGCAGGACAGCCCUACAUCAGAUUACCGAAGUUGUCGCUAAUGCGAGAAUGCAUACCCUCCGCACCAUUCGUCUAGAAGAUGCUCGCGAGAGAUCUGAGAGAAACCAUGAAACCCUGCUUCACGCACUGUCUGAGUCACGAGCCGAAGUCAUAGAGCUCCGAGUACGCCAGAGAGUGUACGAAAGACACCUUCUCGAUAUGGAACGACAACUGGCUGAGCUGAGAGUUCACCAGAGGAAUGACCGUCGUCGGUAGUAGAUGCUUUACUUUAUUUUCCUUGUUAAAAGGAAUCGUUUUUUCUGUCUAUGCCCGAUGUGGCAUUUUCUAUGAAAUUAUCUUGUACUGUAAGUACUUUUGUUAAGUCUUUAUGCUGUCAGGAACUAUCUUCUCUUGAUAUGAUGUAAGACCUGUACAAGGUCAUUUUCCCGAAUCUUUACGUCGUGAAUAUCAAAGAUAUUGACAGCCGGCUAACUUCUGUGUCAUUCUUUAUUCAAGUACUCUUAUCAUACUUUCAUUGGAGUCUAUCUAAAACCUGCUUUUGUCAAGUCAUUGGACUAUAGUAAUUUAGCUCCGGAGACAUUUCCAAGUCUCUUUCAGUUGUUGGAUCCUGUUAUUCACCAACCCACGAUACCUCGGCUUGAACGACAAACGUCUUGAGACCAUUCUACGAACUUACUUCUACUCAUUACUAGGACUGCAUCAUAGGGAUGUAGGUCAAACCUUCGCGAUCAUACUUCCAUUUUCGUGCUAGGACUGCAUCAUAGGGAUGUAGGUCAAACUUUCGAGAACAUACUCUUACUCUUUGAUUGAACAAUCACCGUGCACCUAGGGUCAACCAAAAUCGAUCACAAAUUCCUUAUCUUUCGUAUUACCGAAUCAUGUCGUCAUCCGGAAACAAUCAGUCGGACAACGAAACCUCUACCUUUCCUAUGGACGCCGCGACCUUCCAAACCGCAGUUACAACUGCCGUGAUGGCUGCCGUGACAGCUGUCCUUGCGCACCGUAGCGUUAUCAGCACAAGCUAUGCUGAUGUUGGGAUUGAAAAUUCCAAUCGUAGUAUCAAUCCAAGAAGUCGCCAAACAGUAACAGUUACAGGCUCGCAAAGUCGAAAGACAGAGAACAAGAAACGAAAGCGUCAAGCCCAGAAAGAACGCAAGAAAUCCCAAAGGCUGGCUAUACAACAGCAACAAGUUGAAACCCCUGCCAUCCCAGUGUCGAGCAGGCCAUAUGAGGGAAAAGUCCCGAAGUGUGAUAAGUGUAGUUUCCAUCAUCAUGGGGCUUCCCAUGAGAUGCAGUGUUGCAAUUACCUAAAAAGGGGGCACCAUGCUCGUGGCUGUGGAGCACCGACACGACCCAUCACUCAAGUCCCUUUCAUCCAGACUAACCCUACACACGAGAGUAGUUAUAAAGCCGAACGCUUUAGGAAGCAAUUUCCAAGGUGGAGUAAUGAGGAAGGCACUCGUGUCCACAUAACACUAGCUAAACACCUCACUUCCACCACCAAUAUUGGUGCUUUCCAGAUAUGUCACCAAUGCGGUGAAAUUGGACACUUCAAGAAAGAUUGCCCAAUAGCAAAGAACUUGGGUGUUCAUGGAAAGAUUCUCAGGAUCACAGCUGUAGGAGAGCCUACGCCGGAACCCUCGUUAAUGUAACUUAGGCGUGUUGUUGUAACAGACUUAUAAACUAUCAAGAACUAGUGCAACAAGAGUCGUACCUUUUGCAAGAUCCAGUCUGUAUAGGGAUUCUCGUGUUGCGUAUACUUAUCUUUUGUAGUAUAUCUUAUUCGCAGCAAUAGUCUUGUGGUAAAUCUAAAGUACUGUAACUCUGUUCAUGGUUGCAUGGUUGUGUUUUGUCUGUAAACGUCUUAUGUUCAAAUCUAAUGUCUUUAAGUUUCAGUAUGAUUCCGACAUGAUCAUACGACUCGAUUCAAUUUGAUCCUCACAAAAACAGCUUCAUACGUACAUCUCUUUCUUCUAGAUCACUUUUCCAGCGAAGCUGUCAUAUCAGAACACCGAAGUACUCAUGCCAGGAGUACCUCUUAGUUCUUUUCUUUUCCAAAGAAACCCUAGAAGUACCACUCGUGCAGUACGUCAAGUUUAAUCCAAGGAUUCAUACGAUUGAUCUAUCACUGAGGAAUGUAUACAUAAGAGUAAUAUAUAAUCAAGGUUCUAUAGGUUUAGAAGUGAUGAUUCCACUUUAACUUCUUUUUCCCCGAUGGGAUGUGAGCUUAAAGAAGAAUCAGUUAUUCGACUACCUUUUCAAGCUUAAUUAUAUACGACUCGUAUACACGAAAUUGUGAUUGUGAACCAUGUAUGAAUUCUAAUAUGAACUUCAGGACGGAGAACUGCCUAAGCCUACGAGUAAUCGCAUCGUCAUCUGAACAAACAUAGAACCCAGUACGACUCUUGGAAACAGAUCGCCCUAUAGUCUAAACACCUACAGAGAUACCAGAACAAUACAAACAACUUAACGAACUGCACAACGAUAGAAUAAGAAGACUAGGCUUCUCACCCUGGAGAACCCCCAGUCUUAUUCUCCCAGAGAUCGACGGAUUGCAUCGUAUGUGCCUCGGAUAUCGAGGAUUCCGUCAAGAUUUUCAUUAGAAAUUGUUAUCUCUGCCUCGCAUAGAUGAAAUGGUUGAGCAAACGCAAGGAAAGAAUUACUUUCAGAAAUAGAUAUGAUAUCCGAAUAUCACCAGUUCGAGUGUUAGGGAAGGAUGUCCGGAAUACUAUCUUCCAAACUCAAUGCGGACACUUCGAGUCCGUAGUGAUACCCUUCGGAUAGGACCAAUACGCCCAUAGCUUUCAUGAGCUAAACGAAUAGGGUACGUCUUUCUUACUUGGAUCAGUUCAUCAUUUCUCCAUGUAAUGACUUACUUAUCUACCCUUGUAGUAAGAAGGAUCCCAUGGAAACAUUACCUUCAGAGGAACAUUUCGCGAAGUUCUCUAAGCAUGAGUUUUGAAAUUGAAGAGUCGAAUUUCUAUGACACACUGUUAGUAAUGUGGGAAAUUUUGAGUACUUUUUCAGUUUGUCAAAACCAUUGAGCAUUUGUCGACACCGGAGACGCCGACAGUCAUUCGCCAAAUUCUAGGUCUUACCGACCUACUAUCUUAGUUCAUUCAGAACUCCUCGCAAAUUACAGAAACCCGUACGACUUUGACCCAGCAAGGGGUGGCCUUUGACUGGGAAGUUAAGCAAGAAAAGGAACCUUUGGAAUUCCAUGUGAGCGACCAAGUUCUUUAGGAGAACUCACUCAGGGAAUGGCUUAAUACGCUUCGUAUCGUGUGGAAAGCUAAAUCUAAUAUAGUUAGGACCUCUGAGAUUCUUAUCAGAAUCGGUCCUAUGCCUCGCGCAAACUAGACCUACCCUGCGAACUCAGUAACGUACAUUAUACUCUUAGCGUCUCGAGCAUGAAACCAUACCUUUCCGUUAGGACUCUUGUAAGUCCAUUCGUCGAGAUCCUCGCCUUCGUAUUAGAACCGUAGUGACCCUUGACCGAGAGGUCAAGCAGACGAAGCAACACCAUUGCCAGUUAGUGAAGGUUCAUUGGAAUGCCAACUGAGAACCCGUUUUCACUUAGGUGCGCUAUAACCAAUCGAUUAGGAAGUUUCCUCCUCACGACUCGAUCAUUCAUACCUACUUCCUUGCCUAAAUUCUAAUUUCGGGACGAAAUUCCCUUCAACAGGGGGAUGAUGUGACAACCCGAAAUUUCCAUUCUGAACAAACCAUAUCAAUCCAAUAGAAGUUAGAACAGUUACAGUGAAAUUCCAGACUUCGAGUAUAAGUUUGGCAGUUUUUCAGGAUUUACACUUAAGGAGAUAUCAGGAGAGUGGAUGCACUAGGGUUUUGUGCAACACUGUUAUUCCAAAACUCUAGGAUAGUAAAGUUCAUUCCGGGAAUAAAAAUAUUUUCUGCCAAAAAAAUCUCAGGACUAUAAAUAGAGUUCUGAACAAAAUUCAUUCAUUAUUCGCAUUUUCAACUAGAGAAAAGCCAUUUUCUCUCUCACGGAUCUUCGGGUUUUUUUAUCCCAAAUCGAUCAUUGUGUGUGUCUAAAGUCUUCACUUGACACCAAGCACUUGUCCGAUCCUUCCUUACGAUAACAGUCCGUUCAAUUCCAGUCACUUACUGCAGGUGAGUUCAUACCCUUUAAAUAAUGUUUUAAACUACUUUUAAAUGUUUUAUAAGGGGGGAUACAAGUAGAAUCAUGCUUGUUAUUAUAAAUAAUGUUUUAAACUACUUUUAAAUGUUUUAUAAGGGGGGAUACAAGUAGAAUCAUGCUAGUUAUUAUAUCAAUCACAUGUGAUUAAUAAGUAGAAUUAUGCUAGUUAUUAUAUCAAUUACAUGUGAUUAAUAUGCAGCAUUCAAUUGAUUUACUACACAUUAACCGUUUUACCAAACAGGUUCUUCAAAUGAUUUUCUUAAAUGUUUUAUAUGUUUAAAAAUAUUUAUUAAAUUGUUCAUUAAACACUGUAUGACCCUUUUCAAACUAUUUUACUCCAAGCUAUUACCAAAUCGUUUUACUUCAAACUGUUUUCACUUCAAACUGUUUUCACUUCGAACUGUUUUAUCGAUUAACAUCAAGUCGAUCUUCUCUUAAGAUAAUAAUUAUGUUCAAAGGUUUUACAAAACUUAUUUAUGCUUUUAUAUUAUAAAUUGCAUGCCUCUAUAUGUAUAGUUAUAUAAGAAAUGUUUAAAAGACUUAGGAAGGCUAUCCACCCUAUUUCCUUUUCGCGCUUGAGAUGUGGUCUGGUGGGAUAUCGGGUACUCGUCCGAAGGUCGUUUAAAUAUUAGUUAUAUAACAUAUGUACAUAUAUAGUCAUAAAGGCCCUUCCAGUUCAUCCAAUGCCCUUGGGUAGCAAGGGUAUACAUCCAUGUCCAUACGUACCAGUUAGAUUACUAGUAAACUACCAUAUGGGUAGUUUAGGAAGAUACUAGAACUAUUACUAGAACGCGAUAUCAUACUAUGAGUCAGUUCAUUCAUGAGUCAAUACUUACUACUAGAAGAACAUAUACAACUAUACUAGAGAAGAACAUAUACAACUAUACUAGAGAAGAACAUAUACAACUAUACUAGAAAGAGAACAUAUACAACGAUACCAGAACGAUUACAUUACUAUACUUGCUAGAUAGAGAGAGAACACACAUUUCAGCUAGCACACGUAGAACAUUACAGUACACUACUAUACUAUUACAUGAUCACACUUACAUAAGUACAAUUACAUGAUCACACUUACAUGAGUACGCUUACAUAUACAUAGAACAGAC